GGCCAGGUUACUCCGUCGUGUCCAGGCCAACAUCAGUUUUCCCCGGGGGAUAAAGGCGGCGGGAAUGUGGCUCUCUUCGGGGAGUGUUAUAGCCCACCGUGUAAUACCCUGGGGGGGACUGAGGUUCGCGCAUCUGCAAGGAUGCUGGCGUAAUGGUCAUCAACGA
rnacentral:rRNA from 1 species